AAAUAGAUACCCCGGUAGUCCACGCCCUAAACGAUGGCGAACUGGAUGUUGGGUACAUUACGGUACUCAGUGUCGAAGCUAACGCGUUAAGUUCGCCGCCUGGGGAGUACGGUCGCAAGACUGAAACUCAAAGGAAUUGACGGGGGCCCGCACAAGCGGUGGAGUAUGUGGUUUAAUUCGAUGCAACGCGAAGAACCUUACCUGGCCUUGACAUCUGUCGAAUCCUGCAGAGAUGCGGGAGUGCCGCAAGGAACGACAAGACAGGUGCUGCAUGGCUGUCGUCAGCUCGUGUCGUGAGAUGUUGGGUUAAGUCCCGCAACGAGCGCAACCCUUGUCCCUAGUUGCCAGCACGUAAUGGUGGGAACUCUAGGGAGACGUGCCGGUGACAAACCGGAGGAAGGUGGGGAUGACGUCAAGUCCUCAUGGCCCUUACGGCCAGGGCUACACACGUACUACAAUGGUCGGUACAGAGGGUUGCGAAGCCGCGAGGUGAAGCCAAUCCCAGAAAACCGAUCCCAGUCCGGAUUGGAGU
rnacentral:rRNA from 1 species